ensembl:lncRNA
CUCCUGGGGUCUGGGUGAGCAUCUGGCCCCGACCUGGUAAAGGGUCGGUUUCGCCCAGCAGUAAGCCCUACAUGUGGACAGAGGACGAACACCGGACGAGCGAACGGAGACUACAUGCAACAAGUGGUGACCCCGACGUGAUCUGUCUGCUGAGGGUGGCUGCCCGGCGUGCCCGUGACGCGGAGAAGAGCCUGUGAGGUGGCGGCAGGUCGCGCACGGAAGACGUACUGCGGUUAAGAGCCUGCGAGGUGGCGGCAGGUCGCAUACGUAACAAUGGACCAAGUCAUUAAGGUGGGACUUGCUCACCUCGGUGCUAUGCCAGCGCGCCAUGGCCAGUCAGAAGGCUACGGAACUUAAAACGUGGGGACUGAUAUUAGGAGCCCUUAAAGCGGCCAGAGUUGAGGGAAAGGUAUUGGUGGAGGCUCGAUACCUUUUGGGUCUCAGCGGAGGAGACCGAAGCCAACUCCAGAACAACUGAGGGACAGACGAUGGGAUCAAGAACCACUCGUCAAGAGGAGCACUACACCUGCAACGCUGACACUUCCAAUGUUGCUGAUAUUUAUGGUGUCCAUGGCGAUUACAGAGUGUCACAAACAACUACAAUGGACACAAGAACAUAUGCAGAAAAUUAAAGAAGAGCGUGAUCCCUUUGGAAGCUGGCUGGACGGACUGUUUGGGGGAACGGGUUCAUGGUUAAAGCAAUUGCUUAAAGCUCUCGCAGUAGGAUUUGCAAUCUUUGUGUGUAUUCUAAUCUGUCUUCCAUGCUUUGUAGGAUGCUUGCCUUCAACGAAUGAUGGACAAGACUUUUGACUAUCACAUUGAGUAUCAUAGAUUGCGUGAAAAAUUAUAGAGGGGUUUAGGUUGUUGCGUUCGUGCUGUAACGGGGCAAGGCUUGGCCGAGCACGGAAAAGAAUUCCCUGUUGCUCUGAUGAUUGCUUAAGAACUGUAGUAGAAAAUAGUAGGAAUAGUGUGCUGAAAUAUAUUUAGGAUUAGGCGUUUUGCGCUGCUUCGCGAUGUACGGGUUAGGUGUGUGUGUAAGUAGUAUUUAGCUUAGGGAGGGGGAGAUGUUGUAGUAGGCGUCUUGCGGGGGCACGGGAUGUACGGGACAGGCCUCUCCCUAAACAUAGAGAGAUAGUGCUAUCGUGCUGACCUUGUUGCAGA